rnacentral:rRNA from 1 species
UACGUAGGGUGCAAGCGUUGUCCGGAAUUAUUGGGCGUAAAGAGCUCGUAGGCGGUUCGUCGCGUCGGCUGUGAAAUCCCGAGGCUCAACCUCGGGUCUGCAGUCGAUACGAGCAAACUAGAGUGUUGCAGGGGAGACUGGAAGUUCCUGGUGUAGCGGUGAAAUGCGCAGAUAUCAGGAGGAACACCGGUGGCGAAGGCGGGUCUCUGGGGACGUAACUGACGCUGAGACGGCGAAAGCGUGGGGAGCAAACAGG